rnacentral:rRNA from 1 species
CGAGAAUCAUUCGCAAUGGGCGAAAGCCUGACGAUGCGACGCCGUGUGAGCGAAGAAGGCCUUAGGGUCGUAAAGCUCUUUCGCCCGGGAGCAAGAGAGGUUGACGAAUAAUCAACUUAUUUGAGAGUACCGGGUAAAGAAGCACCGGCUAACUCCGUGCCAGCAGCUGCGGUAAUACGGAGGGUGCAAGCAUUAAUCGGAUUUAUUGGGCGUAAAGGGCGCGUAGGCGGUUAGAUAAGUCAGAUGUGAAAUCCUGGGGCUCAACCUCAGAACUGCAUUUGAAACUAUCUUUCUAGAGGGUAGGAGGAGAAAACGGAAUUCCACAAGUAGCGGUGAAAUGCGUAGAUAUGUGGAAGAACACCGGUGGCGAAGGCGGUUUUCUAUCUUACUCCUGACGCUGAGGCGCGAAAGCAAGGGGAUCAAAC